GACGAACGCUGGCGGCGUGCUUAACACAUGCAAGUCGAACGGAAAGGCCCUGCUUUUGUGGGGUGCUCGAGUGGCGAACGGGUGAGUAACACGUGAGUAACCUGCCCUUGACUUUGGGAUAACUUCAGGAAACUGGGGCUAAUACCGGAUAGGAGCUCCUGCUGCAUGGUGGGGGUUGGAACGUUUCGGCGGUUGGGGAUGGACUCGCGGCUUAUCAGCUUGUUGGUGGGGUAGUGGCUUACCAAGGCUUUGACGGGUAGCCGGCCUGAGAGGGUGACCGGCCACAUUGGGACUGAGAUACGGCCCAGACUCCUACGGGAGGCAGCAGUGGGGAAUAUUGCACAAUGGGCGGAAGCCUGAUGCAGCAACGCCGCGUGCGGGAUGACGGUCUUCGGGUUGUAAACCGCUUUCGCCUGUGACGAAGCGGGAGUGACGGUAAUGGGUAAAGAAGCACCGGCUAACUACGUG
rnacentral:rRNA from 1 species